AGAGUUUGAUCAUGGCUCAGGAUGAACGCUGGCGGCAUGCCUAAGACAUGCAAGUCGAACGAGAUGGUCCAUCGAAGGCUGAGUGCUUGCACAAAGCUGGACUUGGGUUGCCAUCUAGUGGCAGACGGGUGAGUAACACGUGGGUGACCUACCUUUUUGUUGGGGAUAACAGUUGGAAACGAUUGCUAAUACCGAAUAAGAUAUAGAAGUCAAUUUUAUAUUGAAAGGAGCCUUUAAAGCUUCGCAAUUAGAUGGGCCUGCGGCGUAUUAACUAGUUGGUGGGGUAAUGGCCUACCAAGGUAACGAUGCGUAGCCGAACUGAGAGGUUGAUCGGCCACACUGGGACUGAGACACGGCCCAAACUCCUACGGGAGGCAGCAGUGGGGAAUAUUGGGCAAUGGGGGAAACCCUGACCCAGCAACGCCGCGUGAGGGAAGAAGGUUUUCGGAUCGUAAACCUCUGUCCUUGGUGAAGAGGAAGAGACGGUAGCCAAGGAGGAAGCCCCGGCUAACUACGUGCCAGCGGCCGCGGUAAUACGUAGGGGGCAAGCGUUGUCCGGAAUGAUUGGGCGUAAAGGGCGCGUAGGCGGCCCGGUAAGUCUGGAGUGAAAGUCCUGCCUUCAAGGUGGGAAUUGCUUUGGAUACUGUCGGGCUUGAGUGCAGGAGAGGUAAGUGGAAUUCCCAGUGUAGCGGUGAAAUGCGUAGAGAUUGGGAGGAACACCAGUGGCGAAGGCGACUUACUGGACUGUAACUGACGCUGAGGCGCGAAAGUGUGGGGAGCAAACAGGAUUAGAUACCCUGGUAGUCCACGCCGUAAACGAUGAGCACUAGUUGUUGGGUACGAAUGUAUUCAGUGACGCAGUUAACGCAAUAAGUGCUCCGCCUGGGGAGUACGGUGGCAACACUAAAACUCAAAGGAAUUGACGGGGACCCGCACAAGCAGCGGAGCACGUGGUUUAAUUCGAAGCAACGCGAAAAACCUUACCAGGGCUUGACAUCCCUCUGACCGGAUCUUAACCGAUCCUUUCUUCGGACAGAGGUGACAGGUGGUGCAUGGUUGUCGUCAGCUCGUGUCGUGAGAUGUUGGGUUAAGUCCCGCAACGAGCGCAACCCUUGUCGUCAGUUACUAACAUUAAGUUGAGGACUCUGACGAGACUGCCGAGGUCAACUCGGAGGAAGGUGGGGAUGACGUCAAAUCAUCAUGCCCCUUAUGUUCUGGGCUACACACGUGCUACAAUGGCCGGUACAAUGAGAAGCAAAAUGGCGACAUGGAGCAAAUCACCAAAACCGGUCCCAGUUCGGAUUGCAGGCUGCAACUCGCCUGCAUGAAGUCGGAGUUGCUAGUAAUCGCGAAUCAGCAUGUCGCGGUGAAUGCGUUCCCGGGUCUUGUACACACCGCCCGUCACACCAUGGAAGUUGGGGGCGCCCAAAGUUGGCUAAUCAAUCUGCUACCUAAGGCGAAACCAAUGACUGGGGUGAAGUCGUAACAAGGUAACCGUA
rnacentral:rRNA from 1 species